GGGUUGUGAGGUUAAGCGACUAAGCGUACACGGUGGAUGCCCUGGCAGUCAGAGGCGAUGAAGGACGUGCUAAUCUGCGAAAAGCGUCGGUAAGGUGAUAUGAACCGUUAUAACCGGCGAUGUCCGAAUGGGGAAACCCAGUGCAAUUCGUUGCACUAUCGUUAACUGAAUACAUAGGUUAACGAGGCGAACCGGGGGAACUGAAACAUCUAAGUACCCCGAGGAAAAGAAAUCAACCGAGAUUCCCCCAGUAGCGGCGAGCGAACGGGGAGCAGCCCAGAGUCUGAAUCAGCUUGUGUGUUAGUGGAACGGUCUGGAAAGUCCGACGGUACAGGGUGAUAGUCCCGUACACCAAAAUGCACAGGCUGUGAACUCGAAGAGUAGGGCGGGACACGUGGUAUCCUGUCUGAAUAUGGGGGGACCAUCCUCCAAGGCUAAAUACUCCUGACUGACCGAUAGUGAACCAGUACCGUGAGGGAAAGGCGAAAAGAACCCCGGCGAGGGGAGUGAAAAAGAACCUGAAACCGUGUACGUACAAGCAGUGGGAGCACCUUCGGGUGUGACUGCGUACCUUUUGUAUAAUGGGUCAGCGACUUAUAUUCUGUAGCAAGGUUAACCGUAUAGGGGAGCCGCAGGGAAACCGAGUCUUAACUGGGCGUUAAGUUGCAGGGUAUAGACCCGAAACCCGGUGAUCUAGCCAUGGGCAGGUUGAAGGUUGGGUAACACUAACUGGAGGACCGAACCGACUAAUGUUGAAAAAUUAGCGGAUGACUUGUGGCUGGGGGUGAAAGGCCAAUCAAACCGGGAGAUAGCUGGUUCUCCCCGAAAGCUAUUUAGGUAGCGCCUCGUGAAUUCAUCUUCGGGGGUAGAGCACUGUUUCGGCUAGGGGGUCAUCCCGACUUACCAACCCGAUGCAAACUACGAAUACCGAAGAAUGUUAUCACGGGAGACACACGGCGGGUGCUAACGUCCGUCGUGAAGAGGGAAACAACCCAGACCGCCAGCUAAGGUCCCAAAGUCAUGGUUAAGUGGGAAACGAUGUGGGAAGGCACAGACAGCCAGGAUGUUGGCUUAGAAGCAGCCAUCAUUUAAAGAAAGCGUAAUAGCUCACUGGUCGAGUCGGCCUGCGCGGAAGAUGUAACGGGGCUAAACCAUGCACCGAAGCUGCGGCAGCGACACUAUGUGUUGUUGGGUAGGGGAGCGUUCUGUAAGCCUGCGAAGGUGACCUGUGAGGGUUGCUGGAGGUAUCAGAAGUGCGAAUGCUGACAUAAGUAACGAUAAAGCGGGUGAAAAGCCCGCUCGCCGGAAGACCAAGGGUUCCUGUCCAACGUUAAUCGGGGCAGGGUGAGUCGACCCCUAAGGCGAGGCCGAAAGGCGUAGUCGAUGGGAAACAGGUUAAUAUUCCUGUACUUGGUGUUACUGCGAAGGGGGGACGGAGAAGGCUAUGUUAGCCGGGCGACGGUUGUCCCGGUUUAAGCAUGUAGGCUGGUUAUCCAGGCAAAUCCGGAUAAUCAAGGCUGAGGUGUGAUGACGAGGCACUACGGUGCUGAAGUAACAAAUGCCCUGCUUCCAGGAAAAGCCUCUAAGCAUCAGGUAACAUCAAAUCGUACCCCAAACCGACACAGGUGGUCAGGUAGAGAAUACCAAGGCGCUUGAGAGAACUCGGGUGAAGGAACUAGGCAAAAUGGUGCCGUAACUUCGGGAGAAGGCACGCUGGUGUGUAGGUGAAGUCCCUGCGGAUGGAGCUGAGACCAGUCGAAGAUACCAGCUGGCUGCAACUGUUUAUUAAAAACACAGCACUGUGCAAACACGAAAGUGGACGUAUACGGUGUGACGCCUGCCCGGUGCCGGAAGGUUAAUUGAUGGGGUUAUCCGUAAGGAGAAGCUCUUGAUCGAAGCCCCGGUAAACGGCGGCCGUAACUAUAACGGUCCUAAGGUAGCGAAAUUCCUUGUCGGGUAAGUUCCGACCUGCACGAAUGGCGUAAUGAUGGCCAGGCUGUCUCCACCCGAGACUCAGUGAAAUUGAACUCGCUGUGAAGAUGCAGUGUACCCGCGGCAAGACGGAAAGACCCCGUGAACCUUUACUAUAGCUUGACACUGAACAUUGAGCCUUGAUGUGUAGGAUAGGUGGGAGGCUUUGAAGCGUGGACGCCAGUCUGCGUGGAGCCAACCUUGAAAUACCACCCUUUAAUGUUUGAUGUUCUAACGUUGGCCCCUUACCGGGGUUGCGGACAGUGUCUGGUGGGUAGUUUGACUGGGGCGGUCUCCUCCCAAAGCGUAACGGAGGAGCACGAAGGUUAGCUAAUCCUGGUCGGACAUCAGGAGGUUAGUGCAAUGGCAUAAGCUAGCUUGACUGCGAGCGUGACGGCGCGAGCAGGUGCGAAAGCAGGUCAUAGUGAUCCGGUGGUUCUGAAUGGAAGGGCCAUCGCUCAACGGAUAAAAGGUACUCCGGGGAUAACAGGCUGAUACCGCCCAAGAGUUCAUAUCGACGGCGGUGUUUGGCACCUCGAUGUCGGCUCAUCACAUCCUGGGGCUGAAGUAGGUCCCAAGGGUAUGGCUGUUCGCCAUUUAAAGUGGUACGCGAGCUGGGUUUAGAACGUCGUGAGACAGUUCGGUCCCUAUCUGCCGUGGGCGCUGGAGAAUUGAGGGGGGCUGCUCCUAGUACGAGAGGACCGGAGUGGACGCAUCACUGGUGUUCGGGUUGUCAUGCCAAUGGCAUUGCCCGGUAGCUAAAUGCGGAAGAGAUAAGUGCUGAAAGCAUCUAAGCACGAAACUUGCCCCGAGAUGAGUUCUCCCUGAGACUUUAAGUCUCCUGAAGGAACGUUGAAGACGACGACGUUGAUAGGCCGGGUGUGUAAGCGCAGCGAUGCGUUGAGCUAACCGGUACUAAUGAACCGUGAGGCUUAACCUUACAACGCCGAAG
rnacentral:rRNA from 1 species